ensembl:scaRNA
UGGCAGUGGUGCCGUCUAUCCUUGCAUGGUCCUCUCCCAUCUAUGGCGAGUGACCCGGCAGCACUGCCCAGACUGACGGAAGAACCGAAGGCGAGGCCUCUGGAGACGGCGAGGUCUUUCGUGCGAUAUUCUUCCUACACGUUUCCUCUUCGGCCCAGUUUUACCACGGCGGUAGUGGUUGGCCUGUACCGUUACCGAUCUACAAACGGGCAGAGCAGACGAGCAGCUGGAUAUUGUCUGUGAGGAUGAGCUGACCUCUCAGACACUUUGAGCUGCCACAUGC